AUUGAACGCUGGCGGCAGGCCUAACACAUGCAAGUCGAGCGGAGCGCCAGACGGGUGCGUAAUGCCUAUGAAUCGGCCUGGUCGUGGGGGAGAACGUCCGGAACCGGAAGCUGUUGCCGCAUCCUAUCACCUGAGCCUGGGUCGGAUUAGCUAGUUGGUGGGGUAAAGGCCUACGAAGACGACGACCCGUAACUGGUCCGAGAGGAUGAUCAGUCACACUGGAACUGAGACACGGUCCAGACUCCUACGGGAGGCAGCAGUGGGGAAUAUUGGACAAUGGGCGAAAGCCUGAUCCAGCCAUGCCGCGUGUGUGAAGAAGGUCUUCGGAUUGUAAAGCACUUUAAGUUGGGAGGCGUUACCAACAGAAUAAGCACCGGCUAACUUCGUGCCAGCAGCCGCGGUAAUAC
rnacentral:rRNA from 1 species